rnacentral:lncRNA from 12 species
CGAUUGCUGUUUAUUUUGAAAUAAGCACAAGAUAAUUGUGAUUACAAAUGUUUAUUGAAACUGUAAGAUGUUUGUGUUAUUUGUAUGUGAUUUUGCAAUGUAAAAGUUUAAUCGUUUAGUUAAUUAGUCUCACACGGAGCUGUAGUUCACGUGGCUUUGACAUGUGAAACACGUGAGCCUGGAAAAAGAGAGAGAAGUUAAUGCAAAAUUAUUGUAAAUAUUGUAUUAUGCGAAUAGUGAUUGUAAUAUAGGGAAAUUACUUACCUAAUGGAUAUUGAACACAGAUAAAUAUAUAUUGUGUUGCGAUCUCUGGCUUUUUAAUAGGUCAGGUUUUUUGAAUUCAUCGGAAAGUUCCGUUGAUGGCGAGCCACCCAAUCAAACGCUAGGAGGAGAAAGAGGACAACAGACACAUCAAGUUUGUUUUUCAUUCUUUUCUUCAGGAAGGAUGGUUUUUUUCCUUUUUCUGAAUGGAACUGUGAAUUAACAGAUGCAUCGUUGGAUUCGAGAUAAGUGACUGAACGAAAUCUGAUAUCAGUGACUGAUUGAACUGAACUUUGAUUUGCUUUCAAGAAGUUUUCCUUGAGAGGGUAAUCUUAUACACAGUGAAUCUGGUGUUACUAGGGUUAAUUCACUGUGACGGUAACAGUAAAUAUCCACUACCUCCAGUAGCCGUUCCUGUGAUUUUCUGGUGCGCAAUUGGUCCAUUUAUAUAUAAAUAUAUAGCUCAAAGUGUAAAUAAUUUAAAUGCUGUUUUGUUAUUAGAGUCUGCUAACUAAUACAGACACUUAAUUUUGAAUCAUAAUUUAUAUCACCCGCUACACAAGUCAUUUGUAAUUUUAACAAGUGCAGUUUCUGUGCUAUGAUGGGGCCUGAAACCCGAAUGAAAUUCUUCAUGGAGUUCAUUUUUUUGCAGGUAGGAGCACAAUUGAGCAGACACAACUUUUUCUAAAAUUUUAGACAUAAAUGGAAGAUUUGAAAUGGGUCUGUAAUUUGCCAGUUCACUAGGAUCUAGUUGUGGUCAACUGUCACCUGUAUGUUAAAGCGUGCAUAUAUUCAUUGUGUAUUGUGUAGGCUAUGUAUAAUAU